AUAUUACUGAUUUUGGAACUUAAAAUCUAUUUUCUGGAUUUCUUGGCUUGAAGCUAAAAGGAUUCUCCUUUCACUGAGGUUUUAUAGAGAGAAUCUUCACGUGCAGAAAAAACGCCACAAGAUCAUGAAUGCUAGCUGCUGUCCUGUACAUUCUCGAGGCUGAUGGGUGACAGGAAAGGAGAACCGUCACACUGGAUGACGCAUAUACUUGAAAACGUUCUCACCAAGUCAGCAUCCUUUCACUGCCGAUGUGGAUUAACACAAGCAAGUUUGUUGUGAACUUUUGCAUGAAGUAUUCUCAAUACUUUGGACGUUUGUAAUACAUUGUGUGUGUCUUUCGAUGACAGACAAGCAAUUCAUUUUGUAUAAGCCUAUGAGAAGUGUGCCUGCAAAACUUUAAUCUGUUUCUAUUUUAUUACAUACUCCAAGCCAUCCUCCUUGCACACAGCGUUGCAUUGUAGAUCUGGAGAAAAAAAUUAACAAACUUUGAGUUUUAAUUCCUACCAUAAAAAAGAAAAUGUAUGGAAUCUCUUCCAAGAUCAUGAACAUCAGUGAGCUAGUAUUGGCCAAUCAGAAUCAUUUUCAGGAAAGAGUGACUGUGUGGCCUUAAAAAGACAAUUAUAAUGAAGAUUUUUUUCUAACUACAAACUUGAAAAUUGGUUAUUGUUCAAAUGUUUUUGUUUACUACGCAUGCAUCUGUGACUUGAUGAGCAUGUACUUGAAAAAUACUCCGAAGAAAAUUGUUGAUUGAUCUCGGACUGGUUCACUUCCCCCAUGGGUUUGUGCAUAAAAUGCAUGGUUUGUUUGUCAUCUAAAACCCCAUAAUGCAACGGAGUAAAAUCUUAUUUCUUCAACUAUUUUGCAACCAAGUUGUAUAUAUUCCAUUGAAACAAGAAAUACGAUAAUUACUUCCGAGUGUAAUGCUUGGACCCAUCUUCCAUUUACCACUUUAAAGUUUAUCGUCGGUGUUUAAACAACUAAUGUGCAUAUUGAAGUAUUGAAUACUGUAUAUGGAAAUAUUCUAACUUAAAAAAGGUAAUCUUUAAACUCACAAUUUUAUAAAUCUAAAUUUUACCUGAAGUUGUAACAGUCUUUGAGUUCAGUGAAAUGUGCUAUUCUCUACCUGAAACAAACUUAGAGUAAAGCAAAGCUGAUGACUUUUGUUUUGAAUCAAAGUUCAAGUACUUUGUAAACUUCGAAGUCAGUCCUUGUGUUCUUUGCAUACGCUAUACAAAAGUACCAACACGAACAGUUAUUUACCAGUUUUGCAAUAAUAAAACUGACAAACGCUGGGAGAGCAUUUCUCCAAAUUUAAUACUUUGUCGUCAUGAGCUAAGUGAAGCGUCCAUGUGUGUGCUUUUUAAGAAAAAAUGGUGCCUUGUUCAAAUCUAAGAGGGUAGAUAUCAGUUGUAAUUAUUACACAGAUAAGUGAAAAUGUAGGAAGAGUUCCCAGGGUCCUUUAGUACCUAUAAACUGAUCUCAAGGUUUGCUAUAGAACUUUUUUGUUUUAAAUUGGGUCCCUCUUCCCUCUCUUAAAAUUUCUUAAUAUCUACUUAAAUCUCCAAAAUGUAUAUUUGUGAUGUGAAAUAUGCUUACUUUGCACCGAAGGACACCUUGGCUUUGGCAGACUCGUCAACCAAAUCUUAACCAAAAUGCAAUACAUAACUCUAAGUUGCGGUUUUUCCGCUAGGGAACAAAUGUUUGGAAAUUAAAUUCAAAUUAUAUCUAAUGACAACUGAUGUAAGGAGAUGGAGUGUAAAAAGGACAGCGGUAUUUUCAAAAUUGGCUCCAAGUAAUGCUAGUUGCCCUUGAAAAAUAAUCCACUUUGUUGUGAUAGCGCCCUCUUGCUGCGGAUUGUGGAAGAUCAAGACUGCGGGAGCGUGUUUCGGCGACUCUUUUUAACAAUGAACGUGUUUCAGCUUUGAUCACUGGUUAAGCGUUUUAGCAACUUUGUUACGUCUCCAUGACGUCAUUUUCCGACCAAACGAGAACCAAAGGUUUGAAAAAAAGAUACUUACUUUUAGAACUUAAAUGAAGAAAAAAAAGAGAGAGCAGCACUGGUGAGAAACAUGCCGAAUACUGAGUGAAAAAGAUGUUCAUCAACAGUGUCGUUUGCUUCUUUGCGCCUGCCCCUGACGUAACAGUUUCUGGUCCUUUGCUUUUGUUGGCCAUUGCUCUGAUAUCACUAACGUGUUUCUGCUUAGGGGUCGCCAAAACACAACCUGAUAAAUGACUGUUUGGCUUGGUGUGCUCAGCCACUAAUUUACGAAAGCAUAUCCAUGCAGUAGAUAAGUAUUAGGAUUUUUUUUUUUGUUGUUGUUGUUUUUUUGUUUUAGAUUUUCAUGAUUUAAGGUAUAUUUACUUUACUCAACUUAAUAUUGUUAACUUAUAUCAAAAGCUAUUUUACGCGUUAGGGGAAAAACCUGUUUGUAACGUAACGUUUUGUGUACAUGUAAGUGCUAGUCUAGCGUUUUAAUGGUGCGCCUUUUUUUUUUUUUUGAAGAUGAGCAAAGAUGAUGAAAGGUCUGCCGUUGGGUACUUUGAACACGUGGAAAACCAAAACGAAGAUAAAUAAAUGUGUGAAGUAUUUAUCAUGUACAGCAAGGCCUUCCUUCGUCAUUUGAGGAAGCGAAAACUUUUGAUCAGUUAGUUCCCAAACAAACAAAAAAGAAAAGAAAAAAUUUGACCCUUGCCUCUAAUUAUAAUGAUCCUCCGACACAGCGCCCCCCAAACAAAGACCGUGAACUUACCGCGUUUGAGAAGUAAAAAUAAAUAAGCCACUAAUUGCAAUUUCGAGCACGAAGUCCCAAAUCUUGGAUGUGUUGUAAAGAUACCUGGAAAACUCCUGUGCGAGGGGCUAUCGGCCUAUGGGGAUAUAAUCUUGUUGCAUAGGCCUAUAUAUACAAAUGGGUGAUGAAAACCAUUAAAAUUGGGAGGUGGGACCCUCAGUAAAAGUAGCUUGGUAUCUGCCACCUGCACCCGGUACCCGCCACCUGCACCCGGUACCCCGACGAUCAAAAGUCAAGUCUGCACAGCGACCACUAGUAGUGCAUAUAUAACAAUUGCGAAAGCCGAUUUUAAGAGGCUCCAGUGGCGUGGAGAUAAGGCAUGGAAGUUCUGGCAGAGAGCGACCCAGAUAGCUCCAAACCCGAGUGGGGGCGUCUUAUAUUCAACUUUCUCUGCGGCCGAGCCUGAAAGAUAAAUAUAUGGAACGAUCGUUGGUCUUUCGGGGACCCAAACAGCGGUGGCGGUAGAGAUCCUGCCUUCUGGGCAGAGGGUCCUGGGUUCGAAUCCCGUCCGGGACAGCGAUGACCGAUAGCACGAAACCUGCGAUAGGUCCGAGUUCCAUGGCAGUUGUCUAGCGAAGAGGAUAAAAUAAAAUAAAAUAAAAUGGAAAUUUUA